AGACUUGCAGAAUCAACGUGUAGGCAGCCCGCAGCAUGUACACAUGGAGACGUUAUACAUCGACAUUAAUGCAUCUACGAAUGGGUAUGUGUUCACUGAUUAAUCUUCUUAAUUGCUAUUAACUUGGCAUUUAAUAUUAGUCCUGGUCUAUCAUUUCACUGUCACUAUAAAAAGGCUUUGCCGUUUCACUUGUUCCUCGCAACUCAGAGGAAGGCAAAACCAUCAAGAGGACUUCCUAUCAACGCCAUAUCUAGCUAAGAUGGAGACUGCACAGACGAUGCUCUUGACCAUCGUCCUCUUUUUGCUAGCAUCAGAGGUUACAGUGAAGGCGGAUGAGAUUUGUGCAGGGUCAAUUCACCCGACGCCGAUACCGUGCGAUACUCCAGGUUGCCUGCACAUUUGUCGUGAUAAUGUCAACCACGGCGGGGGGUGCCCUAAGUGCAACUGGACUGCUACAUGUACCCCUGAGGGAUGUCAGUGCGAUGUCUGCAUGCCUAAACUGAUAGACUGAUAGUAGCUUGCUAAAUUAGGAUGUUAUGUUCAAUGUAAUAAGGACGGUGUAUGGAAGAUUUGAAACAUGAGUUUGCUAUUGCUUCACCAA